rnacentral:rRNA from 1 species
UACAGAGGGUGCAAGCGUUGUUCGGAAUUACUGGGCGUAAAGCGCGCGUAGGCGGACCUGCAAGUCGGGGGUGAAAGCCCGAGGCUCAACCUCGGAACUGCCUUCGAUACUGCGGGUCUCGAGUCCGGGAGAGGAGAGUGGAAUUCCUGGUGUAGCGGUGAAAUGCGCAGAUAUCAGGAAGAACACCCGUGGCGAAGGCGGCUCUCUGGGACGGUACUGACGCUGAGACGCGAAAGCGUGGGGAGCGAACAGG